rnacentral:rRNA from 1 species
GUGGGGAAUAUUGCACAAUGGGCGCAAGCCUGAUGCAGCAACGCCGCGUGAGGGAUGACGGCCUUCGGGUUGUAAACCUCUUUUAGUAGGGAAGAAGCGAAAGUGACGGUACCUGCAGAAAAAGCACCGGCUAACUACGUGCCAGCAGCCGCGGUAAUACGUAGGGUGCAAGCGUUGUCCGGAAUUAUUGGGCGUAAAGAGCUCGUAGGCGGCUUGUCGCGUCUGCUGUGAAAACCCGAGGCUCAACCUCGGGCCUGCAGUGGGUACGGGCAAGCUAGAGUGCGGUAGGGGAGAUUGGAAUUCCUGGUGUAGCGGUGGAAUGCGCAGAUAUCAGGAGGAACACCGAUGGCGAAGGCAGAUCUCUGGGCCGUAACUGACGCUGAGGAGCGAAAGCAUGGGGAGCGAACAGGAUUAGAUACCCGGGUAGUCC